rnacentral:lncRNA from 1 species
ACUGGUAAUGUCAAUCUGACAAGUGCGCCUUCUUUUUCAUUCUGUUACGCCAAAAUUAAAAUUGCUAUUUGCUUAAAUUUUUUUUUAGAAAUUGGAAGUUUCCAAUUUAUUUUACCCGUUUGAAAGGCUUAAAAGUUCAAAAAUGUUUCGUUUACCAUUGGGAGAAAGGGUAGAUCCUAUGGAAGAAAAACGCCAAGCAAGGGAAAACACAAUAAAUAGUGUAAUCACGUUUUGUGUUCUUUGUGCGGCAAUUAGAGCUGCUCCAUUUAUUUUGGAACACGGUGGUUUCAAUUUAUAGAAUGCUUCAAUCAACUCAGCAAUUGCAUCAUAUAGAUACUAAUGUGUCCUUCUGAGACUCAUUUUUUAUUGUUAAGUUAGAUGAUUAUUUCAAAAUAUAAAGUGUUACAUCAAAAUA